AUCAUCCAGCUCGUCUCGAAAGAGAAACAAUCAAAAAUUGUAAAAUUUAGUGAUCUCGCCCUAACAGGCAUAAAAAAAUUUAAAAAUUAAAAAACAUUAAAAAAAAAUAAAUUUAAUUUUAAACAAGCACACUCCUGUUAACAAAAGUGUAUAUACGAAGUCUGGUAAAAAAAAAAUCGGUAUUUUCAAAUUUCGUGAGAUACGUAUGUUCGAUUUUCACUUUUUUCUGUUAUGUUCGUUCACAUGUCUGUCAUAUAAGUUGGUAAUAUCAGCAAUUUCGGAUUUUCAGUUUGUUUUUGACAGAUAAAAAGAAGCGUUUCGAAGACGGAAAAAAUGUCUGAGGGGGACAAGAUAGUCAUUGAAGCAUAAAUAAAUACUUAAAAAAAUUAAAAUAACGGUUAGACCUCGUAUACUUUUUUGGGUCUCAAAUCAUUACUUCGAUGAGUUACAAAUGGAAGGACGAUGUUAGUAUUACUUCGAAGGGGACAAGAUAGUUGAUGAAUAAAAAAAAAUUUUGAAUAAAAUUUUAAAUAACAGUUUA